rnacentral:misc_RNA from 1 species
AGCAGCCGCGGUAAUUCCAGCUCCAAUAGCGUAUAUUAAAGUUGUUGCAGUUAAAAAGCUCGUAGUUGAAUUUCGGGAUCAGUACGCUGGUCAUGCCUUUGGUAUGCACUGGUGUCACUGGUUUCUCCCUUCUGAAGAUCCGUGAUGUCAUUAAUUUGGUGUCGCGGGGAAUCAGGACUGUUACUUUGAAAAAAUUAGAGUGUUUAAAGCAGGCUCACGCUUGAAUACAUUAGCAUGGAAUAAUGAAAUAGGACGUUUGACCCUAUUUUGUUGGUUUCUAGGAUCGACGUAAUGAUUAAUAGGGAUAGUUGGGGGCAUUAGUAUUCAAUUGUCAGAGGUGAAAUUCUUGGAUUUAUUGAAGACUAACUACUGCGAAAGCAUUUGCCAA